rnacentral:lncRNA from 1 species
CCCUCCCCCGUUCAUGCUCUGUCUCUCUCUGUCCCCAAAAUAAAUAAAAAAACGUUGAAAAAGAAAAAAAAUAGAAGUAACAAUGGAAAAUACAUUGUCAAAUAGGGCUUACAAUGCUUCAUUGUAAUUUUUAUAUUACCUCUUUAACUUAAGCUAUACUGUUUAAAACCGUGUGUAAAUUUAAUAAUCUUUUGUAAGAAGAUUGUUUUAUAUAAAACAUACCUCUGUAAAAUGUUUCCAUGUUAACAUUUCAAAUUAGGAAAGCAAACGGAAAAUUGCCAUUAAGAGAAAAACCUUUCUCUUAGAACAGUGAGAGGUUCCUUGAAAACACUGGGUUGGAUUUAGGACAAACCUGAUUUGACCACCCCUAGCCCGUGUGCACCCACCCGUUCUCCAAAAGUCUGUGGCAUCAUUUUUAUAUUUGAUUCUCGUUACUUUGUUUUCAGAUUUUCCCAUUCAUUCAAAUAGGGAGCGUGGUGUCAUUGUGGAUGGUUUAUGUGAAGCAGUUUCAGCUCUAAUCCCUGGGGAUUUUCAUAACAUCGCCUGCUUUCCAGACCGAUCUGGUCCUGCCCUCUUCCUCCAUCUGCUUAUUUUAGCCACAUUGCCGUCCACCUCGGUGCACUUCUGCACAGCCUCCCCACACCCCGGCCAUUAAUCACGCAACAACAAAUACCUUGGGAGCACCGCUUGAAAAAUGAGUCAGCUUUGGAGCUCUCUGCUUCAUGUUUGUUUUUUUUUUUAAUUUUUUUUCAACGUUUAUUUAUUUUUGGGACAGAGAGAGACAGAGCCUGAACGGGGGAGGGGCAGAGAGAGAGGGAGACACAGAAUCGGAAACAGGCUCCAGGCUCUGAGCCAUCAGCCCAGAGCCUGACGCGGGGCUCGAACUCACGGACCGCGAGAUCGUGACCUGGCUGAAGUCGGACGCUUAACCGACUGCGCCACCCAGGCGCCCCCUCUGCUUCAUGUUUUAAUGGAGCUUCAGUAAAACUAUUUAGAGACCACUUUGGGAUAAUUCUGCUUUUUGAAAUAAAAAAUGGAAGCCCCCUCA